rnacentral:lncRNA from 1 species
GCUUCGCGGCCCCACCCCGCCCAGGUCUACCCCUCAGGGACCCAGGGCUUGAAGGCUCCGGGACUAAAGGAAAGUAGCCACAUCUGGCGAGCCGAAGGGUGCGGGGGGCCUGGUGUCAGGACCCAGCUGGAAGGGCUGGGGCGAGAGACAGUGAGCCACCGCCCCGCAGGACAUUGAAAAGGCAGGGAGAACCCAAUCGCCCGACCCCGCGCCCAGGGGCUCUUCGGGGCUAGAGAAACAGCCAGGGUUGCAAGACCGUGUACAUCCCAAAGGAAAGGGCAGAAGAGUUGUGACCUCGAGCCUCAGCCUUGCUGCACCUCCCAGCCACGGCCCUUUUCCUCCUCCCAGAACCUUCAUUACCCUCCGAACCCAGGCAUCCGGCCAUUCCCACAGCUCCCCACACACAUCCCUGUCCCAGAUUUAAUAAGUUCUGUUCCCUCAUUGUCAAUAUUUGAUUUCUCAGAGCCAUCUCCACGGAGAGGGGGGUGGGGGAUCUUUCCUUGCCUCCCCCCUACUUUGGCCCUCUUUUGCCCACCCCCAGUCUCUUUGUGCCCCCAACCUUCUCUGAACUUGCUGACUUAAUGAAAUGAUAUUAAAGUCUUAAGCAAC